UGGUCUGGCAAGGGCCUUCCACUCAACAUUGAGGGCAUGGAGCUUGAUCUUCUCUCUUUGGAUUCUGUUGCAUGAUUCGCAGAAGCAUGGAAUGUCCGCAUGGCACCAUUACAUGUUCUCAUCAAUAAUGCUGGCAUAUUUUCGAUUGGAGAACCACAGAAGUUUUCAAAAGAUGGGUAUGAAGAACACAUGCAAGUGAAUCAUCUAGCUCCGGCUAUGCUUUCCAUAUUGCUUUUACCAUCACUUAUUAGAGGUUCUCCAAGCCGAAUUGUUAAUGUGAACUCUACUGUAAGUCUAGCAAUAUGCCCUCACUACAGAUGGAUAUGUUAUAUACUCAGUUGUUUUUCCCA